AUUGAACGCUGGCGGCAUGCCUUACACAUGCAAGUCGAACGGCAGCGCGGGGCAACCUGGCGGCGAGUGGCGAACGGGUGAGUAAUAUAUCGGAACAUACCCUAGAGUGGGGGAUAACGUAGCGAAAGUUACGCUAAUACCGCAUACGCACUAAGGUGGAAAGUGGGGGAUUCGCAAGAACCUCAUGCUCAUGGAGUGGCCGAUAUCUGAUUAGCUAGUUGGUGAGGUAAAGGCUCACCAAGGCGACGAUCAGUAGCUGGUUUGAGAGAACGACCAGCCACACUGGAACUGAGACACGGUCCAGACUCCUACGGGAGGCAGCAGUGGGGAAUUUUGGACAAUGGGGGGCGAACCCUGAUCCAGCAAUGCCGCGUGAGUGAAGAAGGCC
rnacentral:rRNA from 1 species